UACGUAGGGUGCAAGCGUUAAUCGGAAUUACUGGGCGUAAAGCGUGCGCAGGCGGUUCGGAAAGAGAGGUGUGAAAUCCCAGGGCUUAACCUUGGAACUGCACUUCUAACUACCGGGCCAGAGUACGUCAGAGGGGGGUAGAAUUCCACGUGUAGCAGUGAAAUGCGUAGAGAUGUGGAGGAAUACCGAUGGCGAAGGCAGCCCCCUGGGAUGAUACUGACGCUCAUGCACGAAAGCGUGGGGAGCAAACAGG
rnacentral:rRNA from 1 species